GAUGAACGCUGGCGGCGUGCCUAAUACAUGCAAGUCGAGCGAACAGACGAGGAGCUUGCUCCUCGGACGUGAGCGGCGGACGGGUGAGUAACACGUGGAUACCCUACCUGUAAGACUGGUAUAACUUGGGGAAACCGGAGCUAAUCCCGUAUAACAUGUUGCACCGCAGGGGUGAACGGUGAAAGACGGUCUUGCGGUAACUUAUCGCGGGAUCCGCGCCGCUUGAGCUAGUAGGUACGUUAACGGCUUACCAAGGCAACGAUGCGUAGGCGACCUGAGGGGGUGAUAGCCCACCCUGGAACGGGACCAGGGUCCAGACGCCUAAGGUAGGCACCAGUAGGGAAUCUUACGCAAUGGUGGAAAGCAUGACGGAGCAACCCGGAGUGAGUGACGAAGGUCUUGGGUUCGUAAAACUGUGUUAUUAGGGAAAAACAAAUGUGUACGUAAAUAUGCACGUAGUGACGGUAACUAAUAAGAAAGCCACGGCUAACUACGUG
rnacentral:rRNA from 1 species